AUUGAACGCUGGCGGCAGGCCUAACACAUGCAAGUCGAGCGAGCGGCGGACGGGUGAGUAAUGUAUGGGGACUGCCCGAUAGAGGGGGAGAACUCCACGAAACGGUAGCUAAUACCGCAUACUAUCGGAUAACCCAUAUGGGAUUAGCUAGUAUGUGAGGUAAUGGCUCACCUCGUCGACGCGCCCUAGCUGGUCUGAGAGUAUGCUCCGCCACACUGGGACUGAGACACGGCCCAGACUCCUACGGAGGUAGCAGUGGGGAAUAUUGUACAAUGGGCGCAAGCCUGAUGCAGCCAUGCCGAGUGUAUGAAGAAGGCCCUAGGGUUGUAAAGUACUUUCAGUCGGGAGGCGUUACCGGCAGAAGAAGCACCUGCUAACGCCGUGCCAGCAGCCGCGGUAAUAC
rnacentral:rRNA from 1 species